rnacentral:misc_RNA from 1 species
UCUCCGUUGGUGAACCAGCGGAGGGAUCAUUAAAGAGUUGUAAAACUCCCAACCCCUGUGAAAAUACCACUGUUGCCUCGGCGGGCCGCCCGUGGGACGGCUACCCUGUAGCUCGACCGCCCGCGUACCGCCGAUGGAAAACCAAAACUCUUGUUUUUUGUAACAUCUCUGAGUACAACUUUUAAAUAAGUCAAAACUUUCAACAACGGAUCUCUUGGUUCUGGCAUCGAUGAAGAACGCAGC